AGUUGUCUUCGGGGCGGAGUGAAAUUCUCCACCGGUGGUAAAAGUCCACGAACAAGCAAUUUGCUUGCCGAGUCUGUGAAAUUCAGACACCGACGGUAUAGUCCGGAUGAAAGAAGAAACGC
rfam:Eubacterium sp. CAG:202 genomic scaffold, scf162